GGCGGAGUGCCCGGGGCGGAAAGCAGGCGCCUGGUCGCCGGCGGCAGGAAGUUUCCUGCGAGGCGUUUGGUGUCUUCGAGGCGGCUGGAGAGGUCGGCGGCGAGGCGGAGGCAGUGGUGGUGUAUGAAGGUGGAGAGCGAGAGCAGAGGGCCCAAGGGGUUUGGGGACUCCAUCAGUGAGUGAGAGAGAGAGAGAGAGAGUAGAAGCGAGCUAAACGGUGGUUUUGCCGAGGGAUUCGAGGUGUGUUAUUUUCACUUGCGGUUUUGUCGCGUGGAUGGCACGAUUAGAGGAUAGUUUAUAUGGUGCUGCACACCUUGUUGGUGAGCGAGUGUGGAUGGCUAGAGUUGGCGAUUUUCGUAUGUUGGUGGCCCAAUAAAACUCAAGGCCCAGAGUAUAGGCUAUACAGCAGAGUGGCUCGUUCCAGUCGCCAUUUCCAGCCCAAGGCUAUAGCCCACAGUAUAAUUUCUGGGUCAACUUGUGAGAACAACCUGCUUCUGAUUUAAGUGAAUUCUUUGAUAGACGAAGGGUCGAAGUGACAGAAAACCAUAUGCAGCGCAUAUAUAAUAUAGUUUCUAAUUUCCAAAAAGUUCAUUUAAUUUAUAAGAAAAUAUAAAUACUUCUGUGAACGAGGAUAGUACAUAUUACAUAUUAUUAAAUAACUGAAAUAUUACGAUAAAUAUAAGUACAUAUGUAAAGGCUCAGUAUCGUUUGAUGUAAUGACAUGAGUAUCUUUUGGUAAUGAAAUAUUAUAUGUUGUAUUUCUGAGUUGUUGAUGUAAUUGUUAAAAAAUAUGUGUGUGUGGAGGAUUUCUUUUAUAUGUUACUUAGAUUAGUGGCAAUGUUGUCAUUCGGGGAAGAAGAUUUGACUUUGCCUUUAUUUGUAACCAUAGGAUCUCGUUUGGAUGACAACAUUUUUGUUUUUGGCUGAGAGGUGACUACACUAUAUCUCCAUGGUGUCGGUAGAAUGACCACAUAGUGACCUUAGGAUCGAUCUCAUUUUCUUAUAGUACUAGUAGUCUAGCACACACCCUUGUAUAUAUGUCUACGUAAUAGAUGCUUGAGAUAUCAAAUAAGGACCUUAGCCUCUAUCAGAUGGUCCAUUCCAAAGGAGUGAUCCUAAGAACACAAGGUGGUGUUAGCCACUUUUGCAUUUACAAUUAAUGCACCUUGUGUUCUCAGGACACCCCUUUAGAACACACUGUUUACCUAUACAAUUUCGGUUAUGGACGACGAUUCGAGUAUGAGCCCAAACCACCAAAUGCAACCACCAUGCGGGUGUCACCCAUUUGUAACUAAGAAAGCAAUCCUGCAACUCAUAUUCCGUUGGUUUUGAGAGUGUCUACUCGGAGCUAGGGAGAAAGUUUAAAUUUUGGUGUUUCAUGACUUAGAGAGAUAAGUUAGUGUUCUAAGAGUUAUAAUUUGUUGAUAUCACUUGCACUACAUUGUAAAAGCGCUAUUUUCACUCA